GGACCCUUAGCUCAGCGGUAGAGCAGACGGCUCAUAACCGUCCGGUCACAGGUUCGAAUCCUGUAGGGUCCACCA
rnacentral:tRNA from 1 species